CACGCUCUCACGAUUCUGCUCUCACGAUCUCACCACGCCCUCACCCUCACCCUCUCACUAGGUCAUCAAGAUUCAAGCACACACGCGCGCACCACCACCGGCCACCACCACGCCACGCCACCACCGUCCACCAGUCUAGCCGCCCCUCUGCGGCUCUAACCCUAGGUGUCUAUUGAUUGAUUGGGGAAAAACUCAAACCAGAAAUAUUUUCAAGAAUGGGGGAAAACUCAAACCAGAGCUGUGGAUUUUGCUGUCAGCACCUCCCAUGGCUAUGAGUCUCUAUUGGUAGAAUUAUGGUACUCCUAAGGCUUGCAAAAUGGUCCUUAUACCAUGUGCUUGUUAACUCAUGUUAUAGUGCAGCUAGGAAAAUAAAGAAUUGUUUAUGUGUGUCCCUAGCACUUUGAAAUGGGGUAGAGUUUUCUUCUUUGCUGUGCCUAGAGUGAUGGUAGAAGGAUGUCUCAAGGUCUCGCUGUCAGCACUUUCUCUUGGUACUGGUUUGCUGAUGUUUAUUACAUUGAGGGCCUAGCUUCUCUUUUUCUGGUUAUGUUGUAUUGUGCUACUGGUUUUCAAGGGGUUUUGGGCUGUAUUGGACGCUGGCUAUUGUUUCUGGGUUUUAAUUGUUUUAUUGGGUUGGUUGUUUGUAUUCUAUUGGCACCCAUAAGAAUAUCAUCAUCAAAAGACAUCAUCGGAAGACUGGAGAGAGAUGCUAAUCUUUAUGCCUUGCUAGAGGAAAUCAACAAAGAUCAUGCUGGUAACUGGUAAGUGGUAAGCAACUCAUUGAAGAGUUUUAGAGAAAAGAUUCAAAUGGAAGAUCCAAUUCUCAAGAAUGCUUUGAAGCCUAAGUUCAGCUAAUCGUCUGUACCAAGCUUAAGAAGCUGUUGAACAAAAUCCCCCAACCAGAAAUUUCAAUCACAUUGUUAUAUCCUUAAGUUCGGAACGCACAUGAAUCAGAGAAACUUGCUUAUAAUGAUAAGAAUAUCUAAUAAGAGCACUUUUGGAAGUAGGCUUGUUCCAAUAGGAUCCAAGCUUUCUAUGAUUAGAAGAAUCUGCUGAAGAAGUUCUGCAUUGCCUACGCCAUUAUGAAGAUCUGAACAGUCAUUUAGAAGAAGAAGGAGUUGUAGCUGAGAUAAAGAGGCGUUGUUGAUUGAAGCAACCAAUGAAGAGUUUUUUUUCCCAAACAUUUAGAGACCAACAAUUGUCACAACUAUCCAGGAAACUAAGAGCCUUACUAUCUUGAAACUUUAUGAGCUCCUUAGAUCUCUAAAGUUGCAUGAAAUGGAGCUGAAUAAGAAAGAUCAAGAAACAGGAAAAAGGAAAAACUUUUGCUCUCAAAGGAAAGGAGCAACCUCAAAGGAAGAAGAAAUAGAAACACAAAAAAUCCGCACUGCUCUGAAAAAAUGUGCAUGUAGUCUUUUUUUAAUUAUAUUUUUAUCGAUUUGCUCAUUUAAAAAUUUGAACCCCUGACCUAGGGUCCUGGAUCCGCCACUGCUUCCACUUCUUCAUUGUUCAGGCAAACGAGGUGACAUUUGGAGUUCUCUAGGAUGCAUUCAUUCAUUCUACUGUAGUGUAGACGUGUAGUAGUAUUUGUGGUGGGACGUUGUAUUUACCAAUAAAGAUCAUAAAUAGCCCUCAGGUGCACCAAAUUAGUCAUUUUUGUAGGCAAAGUAGAGAAGUGUGUUGAAGAACACAUCACUUCAAAGUUUGAUGGCUAUGGACGUGUUUGAAUACACAUAGGCACACUCUUUUUUUCAAUUUUCAAGACAAAAUAAAUUAAAAAGCA